ensembl:lncRNA
GAGAGAGAGAGAGAGAGAGAGAGAGAGAGAGAGAGAGAGACAGAGACAGAGAGAGAGAGAGAGAGAGAGAGAGAGAGAGAGAGAGAGAGAGGGAUAGAGAGAGAGAGAGAGAGAGAGAGAGAGAGAGAGAGAGAGAGAGAGAGAGAGAGAGAGAGGGAGAGAGAGACAGAGAGAGAGGGAUAGAGACAGAGAGAGGGAGAGAGAGACAGAGAGAGAGGGAUAGAGAGAGAGAGAGAGAGAGAGAGAGAGAGAGAGAGGGAGAGAGAGAGAGAGAGAGAGAGAGAGAGAGAGAGAGAGAGAGAGAGAGCUCAUCACCAUUUGACACGCUAGUUCCACUAAACAGUCUUCACUAUGGCACAUUGACAACCUUUUCCCCUUUAGUGGGUUUCAAACGGAGCGGUUUAACUGACUCUGAAUAACUGCCAAGCAGGCAGGGAACAAAGGAAGGAAGAACAUAACAAGGUCUCGUUGUUCUGUACGAACUGGCAUCCCGGCUGUACGAUACAUCCUGGGCCUGUAUGUCUCAAGAGUCUCAGAGAUAAAGAGCACUGAUCUUGAAUCAGUUUUAUACAUUAUAAUGAUUAAGAUUAUACGGGCCAAAGGGAGAACUGAUCGUAGAUCAGCAACACCUACUCCGAGAGGCUUUGUGAAUACGGGCCUUGGUCCCUACUGUAGGAGAGUUCCUGUCCCUAGACAUUAACGUUGAGAGCUGCACUGUUGGUUAAAGGGGAGCUUGUAGGUAAGGUCUACACUGUUGGUUAAAGGGGGGCUUGUAGGUAAGGUCUACACUGUUGGUUAAAGGGGGGCUUGUAGGUAAGCGUUUCACGGUGAGGUCUACAUGUUGUAUUCGACUCGUGACAAAUAAAGUUUGAUUUGAUUUCAAGACGUCGGAGAGCUUUUAUCAAUGACUACGUUUUGGUUUGCACUGGCAGGACAUGAACAAACUCAGACAUAAAAUAAAUACAAAUCAAUCAAAAAUAACACGUUUUAAGGAAACAAAUCACAGAUGUUUUGGGCCCAUUUCUUGAGGAUUCAUUUUCUGUCACAUUGGCCACAGAGGCCAGUUGUUCCUGACCAUGUGACCUGAACCGGCCAGUAAAAUCACCUGGUCCUACAGUACUGUACUGGUUACAGACAUAAACCAAUCACCUGGUCCUACAGUACUGCAGGGUUACAGACAUAAACCAAUCACCUGGUACUACAGUACUGCAGGGUUACAGACAUAAACCAAUCACCUGGUCUUAUAGUAUUGUACUGGUUACAGACAUAAACCAGUCACCUGGUACUACAAUACUGUACUGGUUAUAUACAUAAACCAAUCACCUGGUCCUACAGUACUGCAGGGUUACAGACAUAAACCAAUCACCUGGUCCUACAGUACUGUACUGGUUAUAGACAUAAACCAAUCACCUGGUACUAUAGUACUGUACUGGUUACAGACAUAAACCAAUCACCUGGUACUACAGUACUGCAGGGUUACAGACAUAAACCAAUCACCUGGUACUACAGUACUGCAGGGUUACAUACAUAAACCAAUCACCUGGUCUUAUAGUACUGUACUGGUUACAGACACAAACCAGUCACCUGGUACUACAGUACUGCAGGGUUACAGACAUAAACCACUCACCUGGUACUACAGUACUGCAGGGUUACAGACAUAAACCAAUCACCUGGUCUUAUAGUACUGUACUGGUUACAGACAUAAACCAGUCACCUGGUACUACAGUACUGUACUGGUUAUAUACAUAAACCAAUCACCUGGUCCUACAGUACUGUACUGGUCACAGACAUAAACCAAUCACCUGGUCCUACAGUACUGCAGGGUUACAGACAUAAACCAAUCACCUGGUCCUACAGUACUGUACUG